CAGCAAACAACCGCUCGCGUGUCGAACACAACAAAGCUGAGAAAGUGUCUUUGUGAAUUCUGUCUGCGGUAACGAGGCUUGGCUCGGCUGUUUGGUUUCAGAUGAGAGCUCUCUGUUCGAGGGCAAUGGAGGGAAGUCAAAUCCGCCGACAACAAAUCUACCUGCGCUGACAGCUGUCCAACUGCAGAGAGCAAGAAAAGACCAGCCGUGAUACAUCUGAGAGCUGCUACUUGUUGUUUUAUGACCUGAUGAAGACUACAAGCUGGAGUGUAAAGUGAUUGGUGCACGUGUCUGCAGAGGAAUGAUUGAAAAGCACGACGGCAACCUCUGGAGGGACUCGAACCAGCAAACUGGGCUGUAAUUGAUGGGCUCAUCUGGCAUCAUCAAUAAUGGAGAACAUGAUGAGGAACACGGCGAGGCCCAGAAACACCACCGAGAGGAGCAUCAGUAUCGCCGAGCUGCUGUGUCGAGGGCUCGAGUCCACCAACGGAGCUGUGGGAGCAGAGAAGGAGACAGAGAAGGUCUUUGAGGUUGAAGAUUGUUGGCUGAAUUCAUGGAGACCAGUCCUGUUUGGUGUGUGACUGACAUGUUUCUACCAGGACUGCUCACAUUCAUCAGGAUGCUCUCGGUGCUGAUCUUUGGAUUCUUCUUGGACUCGACCGUUCUUAUCAGUGCAGGACUCACUUUUAUCUUCCAACCUGCUCUAUGAGAUUUGUCAGUGUGGAACUGCUUGUACUUUUUGAUGAUGCUUUGCACUGUGGACACAUGGAAGAGACUUGAAUAUGGACAAAAAUGUGCAAAUCUCUGUCUCUGUGAUGGACCCUAACAAUCUUACUGAGCUAGUUUUCCAUUGACUAGUAACUGAUUGAGAAUGACUGCAUCCUCUGUUCUCAGUUUGUAGUGUAUUAGAACGCUCUAGAAUAUGGACCAUUUGGAAUGGUAUGGAAGCUGGAUUUUCUCUAAAAUUCAUAACUUCAAUGAUUAUGACCAAUUCUGGAAAUGAUAUUGUGAUCUUCUAUCUGUCUAUCUGUCUGUCUGUCUGUCUGUCUGUCUGUCUGUCUGUCUAUGUUGUCUACAGCAGUGUUACAUUAUGAGAUGAUGUUCUUAUUUUAAUAUCUCAAUAUCUCAAAUGUCACAAAGGUACAGCAGCAUGAAAUUGCUGUUUCUGUUGCCGGUUGGUGAAGUGUGACAGAAGCACCAAAUUCAGUUGGAUAUGAAAUGGUUAAAUGCAUUUAUAUUAAUGUCAAGCAAGAACCCGACCAAACAUGCACUCAGCAUGAUUAAUAUCACACUACAUGGUUUUAGCUCGUGAGGCGUCCGACUUACAUUUGUCUCAUUAUUUUUGAGGAUUGCAUUAACUUAUGCCAUUGAAGGAAAAAUCUAAAGUUUCCAUGCUGCUCUUGAAUUGGAGGCACGUGUGCUGCUGACCUUUCUCUAGAAGCUUGAAGGCUUUUUAGAACUUUUCUCACGAGGUGAAAUAUUACGAGGGAUCCAGCUUGGUAGACCUCCACUGGUUUAGAGAGUAGCACAUGCCACCCUGUUAAUACUUUGCAACUGAAGCAACAGACGUCUCAUGGCUGUUUGCACCUAAUGAAACCAGCCAAGCAACGAAUACGAGGUGUCCAGCCACAGCAAGGACAAGAGUUGCUGAGAAGAACCAAACCCUGAGCCAAUAAAAACGUAGAGUUUUCCAGUCUUACAUUGUUAUUUACAAUCACUGUGCCACCGCGAAUCAGCACUGAUUUGAUGCUCAAAAACAGCAAUUUGCUAUUUCUGCCAAGAGAAGAUCUUGAAUGUCACCCAGGCUUCUGACUCCCAAGCAGUUAAGAGCUGAACAGUGUUGUUGACUUCUCAAGCAAUUCUGAAUUCUGCUUCUGCCCUCAAAUUGUACACUGUUCUUUCUCAAGGACUAAAUAAUCAACAUAAUUAUACUCAGUGUAACACUCAUUUUGUGGUUGGAUGGCUGUAAAAGAAAUAGAACAGAUGUUCAGCCUUUGAUGGCGGGCAUAAAAGAUCCCUCGUCUCAAGGAGCUCCACUUAAAAUCAAACUCCCUCCCUCCCCUACGUCCUUUUGCUUUGGAUGGAGGCAGGCUGACAGGAAUUUUAAUUGGUGGACCAAAGAAAAAUUCUUGUUGUCAAAGAACGGUCAUUAUACUUCUGUUUCUUGCCACUUCAAAAUAAGAAACAAGAAAAUGCUCGGGGGUAAUUUAAUUACCCUGAGCAGUUAAUAUCGUGGUUGAUAAGUUAAUGACAGUAUUGACAGUAAAUGUUUGUUUCUUACCCAGUGUUAACUGUGUGUUGUACACGAUCACCCUGACGCCAGGCUUCAGCUCAAACUCCACCAGGUUUUGGUUCAACGCACUGACGAUUAUGUCGGAUGCCUAUUAAGCACAAAUAACAGGGUUUACAGUUUUGCAGGUACCAUGAUACAAUUUGAUGAACAUUUUGUUAAAGAGCUCAUAUUCUGUUUUCUGUCAAGUGUUAAAGCGCUUUUGUGAAAACUUUCAAAGCUCAAACUCAACACUAAAAGGAGUUAUUCUGCCUAAAUAACACAUGGAUCCUGACGGUGUUGAUGUUGGGGUCCAUGUCCAGUGUUAUCAAAUAAGUCACCCUUUGUGCAUCUCCAGGUGUAUUUGCUUUCUGUAUUUAUUUAGUUAGUUUUAUAAAGUUGAGAUCAUUGCUUUACCCAUAUCUAGCUUCAUGUAUGUCUUCAAAUAUAUUAACGUGUGUAUUUUAUAGUUGGGUUACACAUUAAAAUGAUUGACUGUGCCCCUUUAUGAAGGGUCUGAAGUGGUUAAAAUAAACUUAAAUCUAUA